rnacentral:rRNA from 1 species
UACGGAGGGUGCAAGCGUUGCUCGGAAUUAUUGGGCGUAAAGGGCAGGUAGGUGGUCUCAUUUGUCUGGGGUGAAAGCCUUGAGCUUAACUCAAGAAGUGCCCCAGAAACGGUGAGACUAGAGUACUGGAGAGGGUCGUGGAAUUCCCGGUGUAGCGGUGAAAUGCGUAGAGAUCGGGAGGAACACCAGAGGCGAAGGCGGCGACCUGGACAGUAACUGACACUGAGGCACGAAGGCCAGGGGAGCAAACGGG